GGACGCUUAGCUCAGCUGGGAGAGCGUCUCCCUUACAAGGAGAGGGUCAGCGGUUCAAGUCCGUUAGCGUCCACCA
rnacentral:tRNA from 1 species